rnacentral:rRNA from 1 species
GAUGAACGCUGGCGGCGUGCCUAAUACAUGCAAGUAGAACGCUGAAGCUUGGUGCUUGCACCGAGCGGAUGAGUUGCGAACGGGUGAGUAACGCGUAGGUAACCUGCCUCUUAGCGGGGGAUAACUAUUGGAAACGAUAGCUAAUACCGCAUAAAAGUCAAUAUCGCAUGAUAUUGAUUUGAAAGGUGCAAAUGCAUCACUAAGAGAUGGACCUGCGUUGUAUUAGCUAGUUGGUGAGGUAACGGCUCACCAAGGCGACGAUACAUAGCCGACCUGAGAGGGUGAUCGGCCACACUGGGACUGAGACACGGCCCAGACUCCUACGGGAGGCAGCAGUAGGGAAUCUUCGGCAAUGGGGGCAACCCUGACCGAGCAACGCCGCGUGAGUGAAGAAGGUUUUCGGAUCGUAAAGCUCUGUUGUAAGAGAAGAACGAGUGUGAGAGUGGAAAGUUCACACUGUGACGGUAACUUACCAGAAAGGGACGGCUAACUACGUGCCAGCAGCCGCGGUAAUACGUAGGUCCCGAGCGUUAUCCGGAUUUAUUGGGCGUAAAGCGAGCGCAGGCGGUUAGAUAAGUCUGAAGUUAAAGGCUGUGGCUUAACCAUAGUACGCUUUGGAAACUGUUUAACUUGAGUGCAGAAGGGGAGAGUGGAAUUCCAUGUGUAGCGGUGAAAUGCGUAGAUAUAUGGAGGAACACCGGUGGCGAAAGCGGCUCUCUGGUCUGUAACUGACGCUGAGGCUCGAAAGCGUGGGGAGCAAACAGG